GUAUGGUAAGUCCUACCAGCUUUGUGAAGUCCAUCCACCACAUCAGAUUAGCUUUCCAAACGUUAGGACUUGUUGGAGCAAUGAUAGUCCCGUCAACCUGGAGCAUAUUUUAAGAAGCCAGUAAGGACCAGAGAAUGAAAUGGGUCCGACAAGGAACUGAUAUCCUGAUGGAAUCAACAUUGUUGAUGAUUGAACUUUACAAGCCGCUGCCCACGCAGCUUCGAAUGCCUGCAGUGCACAAUAACAGAACAUAUACAAGAUAUAUUUUCCCACUUUUCUAGUGGUUUUAAAUGCCAAUGAGUGCACGUGACUGGAUAUCAUCAUAUGGCUAUAAGUUUUCAAGGGCUCUGAUUGUAACAGCUCUCUAUUGAUCACAUGCAACAUUCACGGGCAAGAAUUUAUGUACUUAGUCUUCUCAACCAACAGCAAAUACGGGGCCAGAGUAUCUGGGUUGUAGCUAGAUAUGGCAUUGGAUUAGACAUGUCCGAGGCACAAGAUGACCCAACACGUAAAAAGCACGACACAUUUAUGGUGUAGGCAUGAUAUGAUAUGACAUGUUAUUAAGUGUGUCGAGUAUUGGAUUAGGCUCAAGUAGCCUUUUUUCGGAAGAAGCAAAAUAUGGCACACGCUAGGGAUGUCAAUUUGGCACACGCUAGGGAUGGGGCGGGUACAACCUUAAAUCCGCCCCUGUCCCAUCACCCAUGACGGGUAUGGUUUUCAUCUCCAUCCCCACCCUAUCACCCGCCAAAUUGAGACCCAUUGGGGCGGGGAUGGGACGGGUCUCCUACUUGACCCGCCCCACUGACAUUCCUAGUACACGCUAAAGUCAGUAAGUUAUGGUGUAGGCACACAAGCCCCCAAUGGUGGCAUGUAGGCUCAGGCUGAAGUGUUGUACACGAUGGUUAUUGAAUAAAAAAUAAACAUGUUUGGUAAAUGAAAAUUUAGGAGUGGCAACUGGCAAGUGAAAAUUUGAGACUGAGUUCUAAUUAGUAUCCCCUUAUUUACUUGAUGGCAUGUGGCCUUUGAGGAAGUAGAAAUGGAAGAAUGUUAUAUAUUUGUUGGUACAUAACAUGACAAUUCGUAAAUAUUUUAAAAAUUAACAUUAGUACCACUGAGAUGUGAAAUGUAUCAUUGUUAUUAUAAUAAUACUGUAAAUAGUUAAAAUUACACUAAAGAUUGUUACAAUGGUAUACUUUUGAAGUUAAUAAAUGUACCACUAGGUUGUGAAAUUAUUCCAUUGGAGUGUAAUUUUAUAAUAGUAUUUGUAAUGGUAUUAAAAUGACUAUAGUGGUACAAUUAAAACAUGAAAAUUAAAGUGAUAAUAUGUUGUCCCAUCACCUUUUUGUUGUACUAAGUUACCAUUAUGCCCCUGUUAUGUAUCAAUAGGUACAUAACUUUCCUCCCUUUAAAAUGCCUCGUGGUCUUUUGGAGGCAAACAAUAAAAUUGACCAAUCAUCUUACACGUCUGCUUAUCAAUCAGAUAACCCUAUUCAUAUGCUUUAUUACUAAAUUUAUUACUCUCUCCGUUUCGUAAAAA